CUAACAACUCCCUGCCACGAGCAUCGUCUGAGCGGGAGCCCCAAACGGUGCUGUGAGAGUUAAAAUCCCCAACUAGAAUAAAAGGUGCCGGAAGCUGAUCUACGAUUUUACCAAUCUCUUGGACAUCAUAAGUAUUAUUGGGAACGUAAAUAUUACACAGUGUAAGAGAACUGCUAAUUUCAAGUUGUACCGCUACAGCUUGAUAAGGCGUAUCUAGUUUAACCCGUUUAUAAGGUAUGCCUUGUCGGAUGAGGAAAGCCACCCCUCCACAGGCUCUUGCUGGUACCAGGUGCGUUUCUUGAAGAGCAAUACACCAAGGAUUAUGCUUUUGAAUUAGCAGUUUCAGCUCAUUUAAAUUGUUGGAGAGUCCUCGACAGUUCCAUUGGACAAUUUUUGUUGUAUCCAUUAAAUGACAAUCACAAUUGAAUAAGCAACAUAUAAAUAUAAAUAACAAUAAAAUAACGGUGUAUAUGAGGACAUUCACAAUAAAUAUAUGUACACUUUUACAUAAACAAAUGAUAGACAAACAAA